rnacentral:rRNA from 1 species
UACAGAGGGGGCAAGCGUUAUUCGGAAUUACUGGGCGUAAAGCGUGCGCAGGCGGUUUUGUAAGUCUGUCGUGAAAUCCCCCGGCUUAACCUGGGAAUGGCGUUGGAGACUGCAAGGCUAGAAUCUGGCAGAGGGGGGUAGAAUUCCACGUGUAGCAGUGAAAUGCGUAGAGAUGUGGAGGAACACCGAUGGCGAAGGCAGCCCCCUGGGCUAAGAUUGACGCUCAUGCACGAAAGCGUGGGGAGCAAACAGG